rnacentral:rRNA from 1 species
CACGGUCUGUAGUAAUACAGAUGGGUGGCGAGUGGCGGACGGGUGAGUAAUUACGUAGGAAUCUGUCUUGGAGAGAGGGAUAACCCGGGGAAACUCGGGCUAAUACCGCAUAUACUCGAGAGAGGAAAGCAUGGGACCUUCGGGCCAUGUGUUCCAAGAGGAGCUUACGUCGGAUUAGCUAGUUGGUUAGGUAAAGGCUGACCAAGGCAAUGAUCCGUAGCUGGUCUGAGAGGACGAUCAGCCACACUGGGACUGAGACACGGCCCAGACUCCUACGGGAGGCAGCAGUGGGGAAUUUUGGACAAUGGGGGCAACCCUGAUCCAGCAAUGCCGCGUGUGUGAAGAAGGCCUGCGGG